rnacentral:rRNA from 1 species
GGCAGCAGGCACGCAAAUUACCCAAUCCCAGCACAUGGGGGAGGUAGUGACGAUAGAUACUGAUGCGGGUCGUUCUUCGGAACACUCGCAAUUGGAAUGGCUAUUUUCUAAAAACCCUAUCGAGAACCUACUGGAGGGCAAGCCUGGUGCCAGCAGCCGCGGUAAUUCCAGCUCCAGUGGCGUAUGCCAAUGUUGCUGCGGUUAAAAGGCUCGCAGUUGAAUGUCGGUUAAUAUACGCGUUGAGAUGCCGGGACGUUGCGAGCUUUGUUUGCCUUUGCGCAGCACUGUGAGCCGUCUCUCCAAGUGCAUCUCUGGCGGGCUAACGAUUAGAUUGGCGGCACAGAGUGGGUCUUCUCGCGCACUUCGGUGUGCUCGGCUCGCUCGCACGUGUCGUCGGUUGACACCUUGAGUAAAUCAGAGUGCUUAAAGCAGUCGUUGAAACACUACGGCUGCGACUACCCUCUCGCGAGGCUCGGUCGUAUGUCUAUGGUGACGUCGCAAGACGUUUGGACAUUGUCUUUGCUUUGCAUGGUACGUCGGAAGACGCCGGGUGAGUUGGUUGCGCUUACGGUUAGACACACCAGCAGUGUGUGCGCGUGCGCCAACGAGCCCGGAAUGAACUGAAAGGGAUGGCUCGAAGGCAUUGGUAUUGCGGGGCGAGAGGUGAAAUUCUAUGACCCCCGCAAGACUUCCCGAAGCGAAAGCGUCUGCCUAGGACGUCUUCAUUAAUCAUGAACGAAAGUUGAAGGAUCGAAGGCGAUCAGAUACCGCCCUAGUUGCAACCGUAAACGAUAUCAACCAUCAAUCCGUCAAAGCGUUCCCUUGCGUUCGCGGGGUGUGGCUUCACGGUCCGCCUCGUGGGCAAAGUGUAAGCGCUUGAUGGGCAGCUCUUCUAUCACGGGAAACCAGAGUGUUUCGGUUCCGGGGGGAGUCUGGUUGCAAAGCUGAAACUUAAAGGAAUUGACGGAAAGGCACCACCAGGCGUGGAGCUUGCGGCUCAAUUUGACUCAACACGGGAAAUCUCACCAGACCCGAACAUCUCUAACGAUUGACAGAUUGAAAGCUCUUUCUUGAUGAAGUGGAUGGUGGUGCAUGGCCGUUCUUAGUUGGUGGAGUGAUCUGUCUGGUUAAUUCCGAUAACGAACGAGACUCUCCCCUGCUAACGGACCUUUGAUGGUUUUUUAGACGGUGCGAUUCGGAUAAAGGGACCAUGGGCGUAAGCCUCGGUCUCAGACGAUGUCCACUGGUCCUUAGUACGUUGGUGUUCUUCGGUCGGCGGGUGUGUGUGCGUGGCGGGUUCGCCUGUCGUGUGUGCCUCCUACUGUCUCGUGGGUUCAUUGACAAAGUGCCUCGGAAUACGUUUCUUCUUAGAGGGAUUGACGGCUUAUAAGUCGUAAGAAACAGGGAGCAAUAACAGGUCUGUGAUGCCCUUAGAUGUUCUGGGCUGCACGCGUGUUACAAUGCCGGUAUCAACGGGUUCUUACACUUCUAGUGGCCUACUCCGAAAGGAGCGGGUAAACCUUUGAAAUACCAACUGCAUACGUACUUUAUGUACGGCGCAUUUACGGCAUGCUUGGGACUGGGGAUUGCAAUUAUUCCCCACGAACUAGGAAUGCCUUGUAGUGGCGGGUCACAGAGCCCGCUGCGAAUCUGUCCCUGCCCUUUGUACACACCGCCCGUCGCUACUACCGAUUGAGUGUACCAGUGAGAUUUUUGGACUGGCGAACCGCGUGCCUUCACGGGUAUGUGGCGAACGACAAAAAGAGACUCGAACUGGUGCACUAGAGGAA